UACGUAGGGUGCAAGCGUUAAUCGGAAUUACUGGGCGUAAAGGGCUCGUAGGUGGCCAACUAAGUCAUACGUGAAAUCCCUCAGCUUAACUGGGGAACUGCGUCUGAUACUGGAUGGCUUGAGUUUGGGAGAGGGAUGCGGAAUUCCAGGUGUAGCGGUGAAAUGCGUAGAUAUCUGGAGGAACACCGGUGGCGAAGGCGGUUCUCUGGGCAUGAUCUGACGCUGAGGAGCGAAAGUGUGGGGAGCGAACAGG
rnacentral:rRNA from 1 species